rnacentral:rRNA from 1 species
CCUACGGGAGGCAGCAGGGAGGAAUAUUGGUCAAUGGGCGCGAGCCUGAACCAGCCAAGUAGCGUGAAGGAUGACUGCCCUACGGGUUGUAAACUUCUUUUAUAAAGGAAUAAAGUGAGGCACGUGGGCCUUUUUGUAUGUACUUUAUGAAUAAGGAUCGGCUAACUCCGUGCCAGCAGCCGCGGUAAUACGGAGGAUCCGAGCGUUAUCCGGAUUGAGUGGGUUUAAAGGGAGCGUAGAUGGGUUGGUAAGUCAGUUGUGAAAGUUUGCGGCUCAACCGUAAAAUUGCAAUUGAUACUGGCAGUCUUGCGUACCGUUGAGGUCGGCGGACUUCGUGUUGUAGCGGU